rnacentral:rRNA from 1 species
AUGGUUGAUAAUGGAUCGGCCUUCGGUUAUUUGCUUAAUCCAGAUGGUUGUUCUAAUAAUAAUGGUAUAUUAUUUGUUCAUACAAUUCCUAGCAUUUAUUCAUUUAUUGUAUUUACGCAUUUACUCUCUUUAUGUCUUGUGCUAACAAUUGUUCUUUUUGUAGGCAUGGCUUCAUCCGGUUCCAGGACGAGGCCGGCGUGCGCGGACCAAGAGGACAUGCCGAAGACGUGGAUGGAGGCCAGUUUGGACAAGGAGAAGGAGAAGGAUGUGCCCACACCAUCAUGUUGGUGUGCUGAUGUUUGCAAGCUGAAGGUGUCCACUGACCGCAACAAGUCAUGGACAGAAGGUAGAAGGUUUUUCGUGUGUCCCAACUAUGCACAUGAUCGUCGGAGGCCAACUAACGCAUAUGACAUACCACCGUCCCCUCCUCCACUUUGCAAGUACUUCACUUGGAUAGAUCACGAGGUACCAAAAGAUGUCCAAGAGGACCAACGUCGAGAUUGGUUACGGAGGCAGCGCCUAUUCGAGGAGUCCUAUGCACGGGGAUUGGAGCGGGAGCGUCGUGACAAGGAGGCUCGUGAGCGCAAGAAGCGUGAGGAAGAGAGGGCACGCAAAGAGAAGGAGGCUCGUCAAGAAGAGAGGGCAAAAAAACUUGCAAGGGCUCGCGAUGCACGAGAGGAGGACGAGGCAUGUGACAAGAAGGGAAAGUGGCCCCGUACUACUCAGUAG